rnacentral:misc_RNA from 1 species
GGAAGAAUCGUUAUUUUUAUGACUUGAAAUUUUGAUAUAUUUUUCAUAGACUCGAAUUGUAACCCGACCCGAAAGUUUUCACGUUACGACCCAAUUGGAAUAAAAAGUGAGAUCUAUGGUGAUAGCGGAGGGCACAGGCCAAUAAUAUUGUAAUAUUCUACCUUUUGCGAUAGAAUUGUGAGAUAUUCAGGAAACACACUGGAGGGUUAGGAUUUGAGAGUUCUGAUCGAUUGUGUCUUGCUCUUUUCAUGACAAUGAAACUUUUUCUCUUGUCUUACCCCAUGGACAUAGAUCUUACUAUUGAAUCACGUUAAAUCUUGUGUUAUUCUUCUUCUCUUUUCA